GCGGUCAUCGUCUAGCCUGGUAGGACACGAAUGCUAGAUCAGUGUAAGCUUCCCAAAAUUUGGAAAUAGCUUGUAGCGCGGGUUCAAAUCCCGCUGGCCGCA
rnacentral:tRNA from 1 species